rnacentral:lncRNA from 1 species
CCUCAGCCCCCUCCCCACGAACGGGCCCUCCGAGAGCCCGCAGCUGCUGGGUUGGAGGAAAUCCCUCACCGUCCCUCCCUCCUCUCCAAGAGCAGACCGCUGGCGGCACGGGGCGGUGUGUGUGCCGGCUGCUGACGGGCGGUGCGGGAGCUCAGACCCGGUGCCGACGCCGCCCUCCACGCGCAGCGCCCUGCAGCCCUCGGAGCGCACCGCGUCCCGCAGCGCUGCGGGCGGGAGGAGCUCAAAUCCCAGCUUCCUCCAGACCGCUGGGAUCGUGGGUAUGUCUGUGGGAAACGGGGUCUGCAAGCUAGGAGGGGUUUGUCUGUCCUCUCUGGGAAGCGAUGCUGCUCUCACUGACCGCGUUCGGCACGAGAGGCGCUGCGCACCGUGCGGGGAGCAGCCGGGGGGGUGGGGGGGGGGGGCGCGGUGCCAGAACGCAGCGGAUACAAAACGCAGCGCCCGACCCCAGCGAUGUGCCGGGCGGAACGAAGGGAGCAGAGCCGACCCGGCACAGCGAGCACGGCAUGGUGAGGCGGAGGCAGCAAGGCGAGCUGCGGAGUGGGCCCGGGCCGGGAAGGCCGUAGCGAGGUACAGGGAGAGCUCAGCUGGCUCGGGAGAGCCCGAGCGACGAGGAAACUCCUGGCGGAGGGGGAGGAACUUCCCGGCGAGGCGUUUCCAUCUCUUCCUCCUCACAGCCAUCCCCACAGCUGCGCUACCGACGAGCUGCCCCCGAGCAGUGCUGGGAGCUGCUCCGGGCCGCGGCGCUGAUCUCGGCGCACGGCAGCACAGGCGGAGCCGCCGCCUCCACGCAGCCCACGCGGGGUCACUGCCGUUCCGCCGGGCUGUGCCGUGCCGGCUGCAGGGCCGGCUGGGAUCGGAUGAGGGCUGCCUCGGCUCGGGGAAUAUCCUUGCCCUCCAAAGGGCAGCGCUGCGCUCUUCCGUUCGGAGGCAGCGCGCGCCCUCACAGCGGGAUCCGGGUACUGUUUGCAACUGCGAAACACGUUAUCUUCCCCGGCAGGCACCGGGGCCGUCCCUCUGCUGAAACGGUCUCAUAGCUCCUCAAAAGAGAGGGGCCCGUUCCGCCUCCAUCCCCGUUCUCUCCACACCUCCCUACAGCCCGUGUGGUCGCUGCUGCUGCCUGCGAGCUGAACGAAGCAUCGGCUCCAGCACGGCGUGGUUCUUCUCCAGAAGAGUGGCCGGGUGAUGGAAUGGGCUGCCCAGGGAAGGGGAGUCACCGACCCUGGAAGUGUUCAGGAAACGUUUAGGUGUUGUACUGAGGGACGUGGGUUAGUGGGAAAUACUGGUGGUAGAUGGACUGGAUGAUCUCGGAGGUCUUUUCCAACCCUGGUGAUUCUAUGACUCUAAGGGGAAUGAAGGAAAUUGGGCUGCAGGUGGGGAUAAGCUGACAUACACCAGUAGCCUUCCUUUGGGAAGGCAGCAGGUGGUGAGAACAGCCUUGGUCUCAGUCUUCUAAAUGCCUUCGUGGGCUUGGGCCCUGAAUCCUGCCAGCACCCAAGCCUGGCAGCUGAGAUCCCACAGUCCCUCAGGUUACACCUGAGCAGCAGUUUGGUUCCAGCCCCACACGGGGCUCCAGCUUGCACCUGAGCUCUGCCAAAAGAGCACGUGGCAGCUGCUGGCUGUGCCCAAGGGCUGAUGGCCUGGGGGGGCACCUCCUCCUCAGUAACAGCAGGUGAAGCAGGCACUGGGAUACUGAGGAAUCUCAUUUUAAAACUCCCACCUGCUGAUGAGCACCUGAGCCCUCUCCCUGUGCACCUCUCAACACCAGCAACUGGAUCUUCGUGCUCUCUCCUUGCUUGUGUUUUCACAGGAAGUCUUAAUGUUCAACCUCAUGUUCUCACAUCUCCAUAUUCCUCCUUCAGACAGACUGCGAGGAAGGCAAUCUGCUCGUGAAGGGCUACUUAAGCUCUCUUUUGCAUACCAGUAACCACUAAGCACUUCAGACAAAGUGCCAUUGCUUUGAUAGUGAGGAGGAGGAAGCCCUGGGCGGAGGCCAGGGCAGAAGGAGUCCCUGAGAGCAGCAGGUUCAGACCUCCGUGGGCUGAGCAGCCUUGCACAGGUGCCCCCUACUCUGAAGGGAAAGCUAGCCAUUAAGCAGCUCAGUGCUGCAAUGCGUCCCUGAGGUUUUCCCUCGUGGCCACCUGGAAGCACCCGACUCCAGCAGGUCCCUAUGGAGUCCACCUCUUUGCAAGCCUGAAAUGUUUCCUCAGCCACCUGCGCCCACACUCAGUUCUCUCCAUCAUCAAGGGUGUGUGGUGAAUGUUAGAGGGCAACAGGAGCUCUGAAAGCAGCAGCUCUCAGCAAACACACUGCCCUUAUCCACCUCACCCUUGGCAAUUGUCCCCCAGACAAUCUCUGGGUGUGCCCACACAGCCUCAGCGCCGCUCUGCAGAGCCUCAGCUUGGUGCCGGCUCCACCAGCUGGUUCUGCUGAACCUGCCACCGCUUUGCCGUGCCCACAUCAAACCCACGCUGGGGCAGCGUCAGGACAGGGGCUCUCCUGUCUGCCUCCCUCCUCUGCUGCAGGGCUCCUGACGCAGACCUGCCUGUUUCUCUGGUCUCUGUCUCACCACGGGGCUGACUGAGCGCAAGGCCUGGCAGGAGGGUUAGGCUGACAGCAGACCUCCCGCUGCCAGGGGAUCCUGGGGAAGGUGGAACCCCUGGGCACCUCAUACUUACAGGGGGAUGAGAGACUACAAAAAGCCUUUCUACGGAGAGGGGUGAUGAGCACGCAGGAUGGGUAGCCUGGUGGUUGCCAUGUCCUGCACAACACCAGGCAGCCCUAAAAGUAGAGCCCUAUCUCCCAGCACCUUGUGCUGAGCAGUCCCACAGCCACCCCUCAGCCCCCGGCAGCUGCACAGGCUCUCCAGGCACCGUGGCAGAGGUGGGCAGCAGCCCUGGGGCUUGUUGCAAUCAUUAGCUGAAAGAAGCGCUUUUACCAUUUUCACGUGCAGAUCCAUAGGACACGGUGGCAGAGAUGACAAAAAGCUCACACCAGGCUCUGCGCAAAAGCUAUGCUGAAAACAUCCAAAAAUUCACCACCACCACCCAGAGCACCCAGCACUGCGAGGAUGCUCAGCCUUUGGGACACAUUACCCGCCUCUGGCAGGUGCCAGCUCCACCCCUCCCCAGGGCACCGCAGCCAGCUGAGCUGUGCCCGUAUGGCUGUCUGGCAGAGGCUCCUCCUGCUCUGCUGGUGGGAUUCAGGCAGGGGCACAGGGCUGUGCUGAGCCCAGCCAGCACACGUUUUACACAGUGCAGAAGGAAGGCAGGCCCAGGCAAUGGCAGGGGGAGCCCAAGUCUGUGAGCCUGGGCUGAUGCACUUAGUUUGUAGGCUUUCUUGAUUUGGGCAAUGAGUCCAUUUCAUAGCAAAGCCACUCAGACAUCAAGCUGCCUACCUAGGAAGGGGCUGUGUGAGGUUAAGACACCAUUGCUCUUCCUUCUGCUCUUGUCACUGAAGGCUGCAGGUCCCACCCGUCUCUGCUGCCAGCGAGGCUGGUGUGACUGGGCCCAUGACUGGGCCAGUGCCGGUGAUCCUGGACUGCUGGCAUCCCAGGAGCAGCCCCUGAUGGCUGUGCUCGAGGCACACUGCCUUUUCCCAGUGCCUCCAGAACAGCGAUCACCUGCAGAGCACCAACAGCACACAGCGUGUGAGCAGCGCAAGUCUGGAGCACCAGCCCCGUGCUCCCAGCUCCUUCCUGGGCUGCGGAACGGAGGGAAGAUCCAGAAAUUCCCCCAAUUCAAACGUAACAGUGCCCCAGCCGGCCAGCUCUGCCCCAUCACACCUCCAGCACCAGGACAGGCUGUGCAGGGCCAGCACGUGUGCAGCCACCUCCCGCACACUGCCUGCAGUGCCACGGCCACUGGAUUAGGGAUAUUAGUGGUACAUCCCCGCCUUAUCCUCUAAGUAGCCAUGUGUGCAGCUACUGCCCAUGAACUUGCCUAAUCCCUUUUUGACCCUGAAAGGUUCCCAAAGAUCACCGCUCCCAUGUGUUUUCCUAUACCUGCUUCCAUCUGUUCUCUCCCUACUUUAACCAAAUGCUCCAUCGGUGCUGCCUGAGCUGUAAGAACAACAGCAAUAGCCCACAGCCUGGUUUUCAAGCGCUGGCGUCAUGCUCAUUCCCAAACAUUACUCAUGAGUGCUGACAUCCAGGCUGGAACUGCAGCUCCAGGCAGGCAUGGCCGCGCUUUUUCACACACACAAAAAGACCAGGGACAACCAUGGAGAUCGUAUUUAUUAUUAUAACAGAGGAUAGGCUGCUUUACUGAUUCGUAUUUACAAAUCUGUCAGCAAAGAAAGUAAUAUCCAGUGUAAUUUAUUAGCCUAUUUUACAGCCCUGGCAAGAAGCAUUUAUUUGUAAUAGCAGCAAAUGCCUAUGCUCUGAUUGCCUGCUACAGCUAAGUGCAAGGGAUAGCAUGGAUGGCCGGGGUGGCAGCUGGCUGCAGGCACUGCAUCUGCAGCCCAGAGAAGGGGCAGGCAGAGGCAGCUGGCCCAGCCCUUGUGGGGCCGGGAUGCAUACCCUGAGCCUGAAAUUUUGGCAAAACACAGCAGAGCUGGUAACUGUCUGCCUGCAUUGCUGGGAAUGUGGCCGCACAUCCGGAGCAUGAGGAGGCUGGCAAUUCUGAGGCCAAAUAGAGCUGAACUGCUUGCAAGCACUGUGAGGGAUGAGCAUGUAAAGCAGAUCCUCACACAGCUGUGGUGUUUGCAGGCCCAGGCCUGACAAGGGAACAAGGUUUCCUGGAUCACAGAAGCACGGGGCACAAGGGGGACCACGACCCUUGGCUAACAUGAGCACAAACUGAACUGCCACUGCAGAGGUCUCUGAGCAGAGCUGUGCCCUGGAAACCCCACUCAGAGAGGUUCAAAUAGGCUCAGGGAAUUCUCUGUACAUGGUACCUCGUGCCCAAAUCCUUGGCUCAGACUCAGACAUCAACGUGAAACCUCCCUGCUGGGCUCCCCACUCAGCUCUGCAACCUAGGGGGGCUCCCAGGUCCCUGCAUGAAAGGAAGGGGUUGCAGAAAUGCAAAUGCAACCAUGGAUGCUACCAGCAGAUGUAGCAUUGCACGAACACCACCAGCACACAGCUUUUGCAGCAGACCUGCCUCCAUCAGGGAAAACACUUCAGAGGAAAAGGAGAAUUCCAGAAGGUCACAGAAUUAGAAAUUGCUGUUUGUUAAUAAGUAUGCAACGGUAUCUGGAGGCUAAUCUAUGUGCUGCCGCUGAAGGAUGGUGCCCCUGCUGUGCCUCACUUCUUGCUGGCACACAGAACGUUGCAGGGGUUCAACUGCAGCAGAGAGGACACCGAGCUGCCCGCCUGCACUGCCCCAUGCAGGCUCCACCACACUGCAGCUGCUCAGACUGCUUCCACUCUUCCCUUCUCUCCCUUUACCUUCUUAAGUCCUCUGCAACUCCAGUAGGAGUUUGGUGGGGACAACACAGCUGCCACAGCUGACUCCCAGCAGAAUCAGCGUUUCACAGUACUGCUGGCUCUGUGUGGAAGGGCAUCUCAGCACAGGGGCAAUUCUCACCUAUGGUGGUCUCCCCCCUCCCUUCUUUAGACCUGGCUGAACAUGGAGGGGGGCAGAGCAGUCUGGUGCUCAGAAAAGGUGCUGUGGGUGCUCUGAGCACCUCUGGUGUUAUCUCAGCUGCUCUUCAGGAAAACUGGCACUGGCUUGUGCAGCAUGUGCAGUGAGGGCUGGCAGAAAGGAGCUGUGAAGCCAUUAGGGGUUACCUUCCCAGAGGACAUAGCCCACACUGGGGGAUACCAAGGAGGUUAUUGAAUGUCCCUCUUGUCCCCAAGCCCCACAGUGUGAGUGCUGCUGGUUUAGCUCAGCACUGGGCUGGCCCCAAGGCUGACCUCAUGCUGCUGUGCAGCUCUGAAGCUGCCUCAAGGAGAGGGUGAGGAUCUCCCAGGAUCUGUCUGGCCACCUGGCAGCAGCAGCUCAGGCAUCUCCUCUCCCAGGGCUGCAACAUGCUUCCACUGACCUUGGCAGCCCAAGGAAUGCCUCUGCCUCAGCGAAUCCCCCGCACCUUCACAUCCCUCUACCAACAGCACUGUGGGGUGCCGGUGCCAGAACAACCCUCACACUUUCAAACAAGUCUGCAGAGGCGGACUAGGCUGGCUCCAUGGCAGUGGAGUUAUCCCCAGAGAGGCAGUGUUUCCACGAGGACCAGAGGGAAACACUCAUGUUACAACGCAGGAGUAACGUCCUCAUACCUGAGGCCAACUCUGCCUUCAGAAGGGAGAUGGAGAGUCUCAGUGUCCCAGGGUGCAGUGUCUCAUGGAUGUCACAGCUCCUUCAGUGAGCAGCCGGUCCUGCAGCUCCAAGGAGGAGGCCGUUCCCCCUCUGACACACACAAGAAGGCCAAGAACCGCCGCAUCUGGGCUGGCACGUCCAAGGACUACCAGGUCCUACUGCUGAACAGCCCAAGCCUUCCAGGAUUGUCUAGUCCUUGUCUUUGAGGUCUUAAGUUGGGAGAUGUUUGGGGGCUAACCCAGGGUGUGAUAACAGCAAGGACAAUAGAAGAAGUAAAAGUGGAGGGGAGAAGACUUCAGGCACCCAACAGCUCCCCAGAGCAACGUCCUGGACCCCAGGGCCAGCGCCUCAGACCAGCCCUUUGAUGAAGCUUGUGUCUAAGUGCACUAUCAGCAUGCGGAGGAAGGACAUUUCCUUGCGCGUAUUCUCAAAGAUAAUGCGAGGGUCGUCGGACUGACAGCGCAGGCAGUUGGGGGCCAUCACCAUGGCCAGGUUGUUCACAUCCAUCUUUGUCCUGCCCACAUUUGACGGCUGAGCAAAGAUCUGCAGGUAGUAAGGAAAGGUUGAGCUGGGGUAGCGGAAAAGGGCAAGAGACUGCAGACAUGGGGCCUAAGAAGAGGUGCAAGGACAGCAGAGAUGUGGCUCUCUGAAGGACAACACCCCAACCACCACUCAUCCACAGGGAAAGACCACCACGCUCUGACACGGCUGACGGCGCGGCAGCCUCGGCACACAGGGAACAUCCUGCAGAUCCCAACCUGUCCCUGUUUGGGAACAGUCCCAUACCCCACCAGAUCAGGAACGCUGUCACCCAGCAAAACUCCCUCCAUUAGUCCCAGCUUAAACAUGGGUGGGAGGCCCUAACUGCCAGCUGAUGGCACGGCACAGCUCUCCUGCUAACCGUGCCCCUUGUGCUGCAGGCCGCUGGCUGGCGGCAGAGAGGCGGACGGCUGGGCUGCCUACCUGCAGGAAGUGUAUGAGGUAACACAGCACCAGUUUGUUGAGCUCUGGCAAAAGCUGCACCACGGCCACAGCGGCGUCAGGGUUCUCAUAGUUGCUGAUACACUCUUUGUAGAACUCCUGGGGGAUCACGGGCUCCUCCAGCUCCCGAUACCAUAGCUUGAGGAGAGAGGCUGGGAUGUUGGGGUCACUGAGGCCACUUGGGAUUCUCCACUGAUCCACCUGCAACUUCAAUGCAUUGACUUCAUCUAUGUCACCGGGUAUCCUGAAGAUCCCUUCCGUCUGUUCUCCUCCCAGAGCCAGCACCUGCUGCGAGAGCUGCGUCUGCACCCAGGGCAGCCUGUGGCCCGGGUACAUGUCCUGCUGCCGCAGCAUGAUCUCCUCCAGAGAGCUGCCAAACAGCGACGGCGUCACGAUGGCGUUCCGGGCGUGUGUGAUCUCCUCCACUGUAGGCUUGCGGAGGCCCUUCUUGCCUCCGGUGACGGCCACCUUCUGGAGUUUGCGGUAGCAGUAUUUGGCGUACAUGCUGAUGGGCAGACCUUCCUCCUCGGUGUUUUGCUUCCUCUUUUUCCUGGAUUUUGAGUUCUUCUUGUUCUUCAGAUCCACAAGCUCCUUGAUGCGCUGGGCAAUGUUUUCAUCACAGUCCAGGUGGCGAUAGAUGUAACCUUCCAGAUAGGACUGGAAUUUGGGCGAUGGGGAGAAAAAGGCCAAACUGAUGGCCAUCAGUUCCCAGCCCCACGCCAGGCUUCGGUAGCACGUGUUAUCUGUUGUCUGCCGGAUCAGCUGUAUGUACAGCUCGUCCCGUAACCCUUGCAUGCUCCAGCACUUGGUGACC